AUUAUUUUUUUAGAUUCUUUUUUAUUGUUGAAAAAAUUAAAAACAAAUUGUUUUUUACAAUAAUUAAAAUUUAUAAUAUUUCAAUUUUUAAUUUUUAGUUUUAAAUAAAAAUUACAAAUAUGAAAAAUAAAAAAAUUUUGUUAUAAAUUAAAUUAAUUUAUUUAUAUUAAAAAUAUUUUUUAUAAUUUUUAUUUUUUUUAUUUUUUUAAAAAAAAAAUAAUUUAAUUAUAAUUAUUUAUUUAAAUUUAAUAAUUAAAUAUAAAAUUUUGUAUUAAGGAAAUUUAAUAAUAAAUGUUUUUUCAAUCUUUGGGGG
rnacentral:rRNA from 1 species